rnacentral:tRNA from 1 species
GAGGGUGUAUCUCAGUGGUAGGGUAUGUGCUUAGUGUGCACAAGGUCCCGGGUUCAAUCCCCAGUACUUCCA